rnacentral:misc_RNA from 1 species
UUUCCGUAGGUGAACCUGCGGAAGGAUCAUUAAUGAAAUUCGGAUUGUGCUGGCUUUGCAGGUGCACGUCCUUUCAUCCACACCCCUUGUGAACCUUUGACCUGGAAGCCCUCGGGCCGACGGGUAUUACACAAACUCUUUGAUAUGUAUGUGACAAACGAUGAAGGCGCAAGCCUGAAUUACUAUACAACUUUCAACAACGGAUCUCUUGGCUCUCGCAUCGAUGAAGAACGCAGC